CAGUAGCCACGGGAAUACGGAGGGCGCGAGCGUUACCCGGAUUUACUGGGAGUAAAGGGCGUGUAGGCGGCCUGGGGCGUCCCAUGUGAAAGGCCACGGCUCAACCGUGGAGGAGCGUGGGAUACGCUCAGGCUAGAGGGUGGGAGAGGGUGGUGGAAUUCCCGGAGUAGCGGUGAAAUGCGCGGAUACCGGGAGGAACGCCGAUGGCGAAGGCAGCCACCUGGUCCACUUCUGACGCUGAGGCGCGAAAGCGUGGGGAGCAAACCGGAUUAGAACCCCCGUAGUCCCUGUCUCUUAACAC
rnacentral:rRNA from 1 species